UUAUUUGAAAGCCAAGUCUAAAGUGUUAAUGUGGCCUCAUGCUCCCACGAGGGAACUUCUUAAAGACUCAUACCUUUGGACGUCCCGCUCCCCCGCUAACUUAUGCCUUCUCAUGGGAUUUUCUGACUGGCAAGUUGGAAGAAUACAAGAAUGUACACCACCAGGAGUGAAUCCUAAGGGGAAGAGUGGAUUUUUGCUGAUUGUGAUGUGUCAAUGC